CCCUUAGAUGUUCGGGGCCGCACGCGUGCUACAAUGAGAGACGCAACGUGUGUCCUUCCCCCUUGCCCGAGACGGCUAGGUAAUCAUGACAAAGUCUCUCGUGAUAGGGACUGGGGCUUGUAACUGUUCCCCACGAACGAGGAAUACCUAGUAGGCGCGUGUCAUCAGCGCGCGCCGACUACGUCCCUGCCCUUUGUACACACCGCCCGUCGCUCCUACCGAUUGAGUGAUCCGGUGAGGCUCUGGGACCUGGACGGAAAGAGCGUUUCGCUUGUUCUGUUUGGGAAACUUGGUCGAACCUUAUCAUUUAGAGGAAGGAGAAGUCGUAACA
rnacentral:rRNA from 1 species